UCUAGUUCCUUGGACAGGACGUCGCAGAGGGUGAGAAUCCCGUAUGUGGCCGCCAGUCUUCGCCGUGUAAAGCCCCUUCGACGAGUCGAGUUGUUUGGGAAUGCAGCUCUAAAUGGGAGGUAAAUUUCUUCUAAAGCUAAAUAUUGGCCAGAGACCGAUAGCGCACAAGUAGAGUGAUCGAAAGAUGAAAAGCACUUUGGAAAGAGAGUCAAAAAGCACGUGAAAUUGUUGAAAGGGAAGCGCUUGCAGCCAGACUUGCCUGUAGUUGCUCAUCCGGGCUUUUGCCCGGUGCACUCUUCUAUAGGCAGGCCAGCAUCAGUCCCGGCGGUUGGAUAAAUGUCUGCACAAUGUACCUCUCUUCGGGGAGGACUUAUAGGGCAGGCGGCAUACAACCAGCCGGGAUUGAGGUCCGCGCAUCUGCUAGGAUGCUGGCGUAAUGGCUGUAAGCGGCCCGUCUUGAAACACGGACCAAGGAGUCUAACAUCUAUGCGAGUGUUUGGGUGUCAAGCCCGAGCGCGUAAUGAAAGUGAACGGAGGUGGGAACCCCUCGGGGUGCACCAUCGACCGAUCCUGAUGUCUUCGGAUGGAUUUGAGUAAGAGCAUAGCUGUUGGGACCCGAAAGAUGGUGAACUAUGCCUGAAUAGGGUGAAGCCAGAGGAAACUCUGGUGGAGGCUCGCAGCGGUUCUGACGUGCAAAUCGAUCGUCAAAUUUGGGCAUAGGG
rnacentral:rRNA from 1 species